rnacentral:tRNA from 1 species
UCAAAGGUAGCUUAAUUUAAAGUUUAGGAUUCUUACUCCUGAGAUGUUGUUUUUGUGUGACUCUUUGAG